rnacentral:misc_RNA from 1 species
GAUGAAGAACGCAGCGAAAUGCGAUAAGUAGUGUGAAUUGCAGAAUUCAGUGAAUCAUCGAAUCUUUGAACGCACAUUGCGCCCCUUGGUAUUCCAUGGGGCAUGCCUGUUCGAGCGUCAUUUGUACCUUCAAGCUUUGCUUGGUGUUGGGUGUUUGUCUCGCCUUUGCGUGUAGACUCGCCUUAAAAUAAUUGGCAGCCGGCAUAUUGGCCUUGGAGCGCAGCACAUUUUGCGCUUCUAGUCAUAAUUGUUGGCGUCCAUUAAGCCUAUACAUUUGCUCUUGACCUCGGAUCAGGUAGGGAUACCCGCUGAACUUAAGCAUAUCAAUAAGCGGAGGA